rnacentral:rRNA from 1 species
GGAAGGAUCAUUACCGAAUUGUCAACAUGAAGUUGUUGCUGGCCCUCAAAUGGGGACAUGUGCACACUCUGUUUACACAUCCACUCACACCUGUGCACUCUCUGUAGUACUGUGGUCUUGGGGUUCUGUCCUCCUACUGUGGUUCUGCGUAUUUAUACACACACACUGUAAUAAAGUUUCAUGGAAUGUAUGCCGCGUUUAACGCAAUGAAAUACAACUUUCAGCAACGGAUCUCUUGGCUCUCGCAUCGAUGAAGAACGCAGCGAAAUGCGAUAAGUAAUGUGAAUUGCAGAAUUCAGUGAAUCAUCGAAUCUUUGAACGCACCUUGCGCCCUUUGGCUAUUCCGAAGGGCAUGCCUGUUUGAGUAUCAUGAACACCUCAACUCUCAUGGCUUGCCACGAUGAGCUUGGACUUGGGGGGUUUUGCUGGCCUACAGUCAGCUCCCCUCAAAUGCAUUAGCUUUCCAGCAUUUGGUGGCAUCACAGGUGUGAUAAACAUCUACACGUGUGGUUCCCCACCAUGGUAACCUUCAGUGAUGGAGGUUCACUGGAGCUCACAAAUGUCUUUCCUCAGUGAAGACAGUUCUUUGAUUGUUUGAUCUCAAAUCAGGUA